rnacentral:tRNA from 11 species
GCCGAAGUGGUGGAAUUGGUAGACACGCUAUCUUGAGGGGGUAGUGGCCUUACGGCCGUGCGGGUUCAAGUCCCGCCUUCGGCACCA